AAGAAGAAAUAACAACUCAAGUCUGGAGUCUAACAGCAGACUUGAUUGAAAAAAACAGCUUUUGCUACAAAGAAGAAUAUUAACAAAAAAUAUAAUAAUAACAAUUAUUAUUAUAAAUAUAAUUAUUAUUAUUUUAUAUAAUACAAAAAAGAAAAAAAUAAAA